GACGAACGUUGGCGGCGUGCUUAAUACAUGCAAGUCCACUGAAGCAGUGGUAGCAAUAUCGCUGUGGAGGUGGCGCACGGGUGAGUAACACGUAGGUAAUCUGCCUUCAGGUCUGGCAUAACUCCGGGAAACCGGGGCUAAUAGCAGAUGAUGCAGCGGCUCGACAUCGAGACAGUUGUUAAAGCUAUGGCGCCUGAAGAUGAGCCUGCGUCUGAUUAGCUAGUUGGCGGGGUAACGGCCCACCAAGGCAACGAUCAGUAGCUGGUCUGAGAGGAUGAUCAGCCACACUGGAACUGAGACACGGUCCAGACUCCUACGGGAGGCAGCAGUAAGGAAUAUUGCUCAAUGGGAGAAAUACUGAAGCAGCAACGCCGCGUGAGGGACGAAGGGCUUUUGCUUGUAAACCUCUGUAGUGAGAGAAAAAAAUCCCAAUCUUUGGGACAUGAUGGUAUCUCAAAAGUAAGCCCCGGCUAACUACGUG
rnacentral:rRNA from 1 species